AUGUGGUGCAAUGGUAGCGCGUUGGACUUCUGAUCCGAAGGGUUCGAAUCCCACCUGGAAUG
rnacentral:tRNA from 1 species